rnacentral:tRNA from 1 species
AAAGAAUUAGUUAAAUUUAUAACAUAAAUAUGUCAAAUUUAAAUUAUUGUCAAACAAUAUUCUUUU